GUGUCUUAUGAAAGGAGAAAAGUUAGUAUUCCCCUGGACAAAGAUGGAAGAGGCCCUUGAGUCUGACAAUAUGCAUAUGGUUAAGGCAUUGCACCUACUUUAUGGCAUCUAACCAUUGCUUUCC
ensembl:snRNA